AAGUCGUAACAAGGUUUCCGUAGGUGAACCUGCGGAAGGAUCAUUAUCACGUAUCCACGUAUAAACCAUUGUGAACCGUUCUAUUACCUUUGUUUGUGUAAAUGAAUGAAAUUGAUGUGUUCUCUCCGGAGUCGCAUCGAUGGAGUUUAUUUUCCGCAAAGUGUAUUAACUUUAUAUUAACCAUUAUAACCCAAUCUUUAUAACUUUUAUGAACUAAUUUUUAUUUUAUACUCUUCGGAGAUAAAAUUCAUUACGAAACAAAGAACAACUCUUAGCAACGGAUAUCUUGGUUCUC
rnacentral:misc_RNA from 1 species